rnacentral:lncRNA from 1 species
AUGUGGCUUGUCUGUGAUUGUGUUACACCACUGUUUUCCAUCUUUUUAAGGUAUGUCCAGUUUAGAGGAGAUAAAACUCGCCAUCUGCUCUUCGUUACUUGGUCUCUCUGAUGAAACCCUUCAAAAAUUGAUCCAUGGGCUUACUGCUAUUGGUGUUGAAACAAAAGCUGACCUAAACUAUGUGAAAGAAGGCGACCUCAUGGAAUACCUCAGGCCUAUCCAAUGUCGAAAACUACUAAAUGCGUGGAAAAAUGAAGGUAGCAGCAACUGCAGCCGACAUGGAAAGAAAUGGAUUACCGGAUUCACCCGCACUGAUCUUUCAAGGUGAAUCCAUGACCCCAAGCAAGUGAAGUUGUCUUUGGCCCAUGUUCAGAGGCAUUUGUUGAGGGCCUGGCAGCAUUGUUUGCGACCUAUUACAACUUAAACCUUGCUUAUCAGGAUGAAGCUGCAUGCACCCUCGAAUUUAUUCAGAGGUAUGUCAGAGCAUAAACUCUUACUGAAUAUUUAUUGUAGACAUC